rnacentral:rRNA from 1 species
GAUCAUGGCUCAGAUUGAACGCUGGCGGCAGGCUUAACACAUGCAAGUCGAACGGUAACAUAAAGAAGCUUGCUUCUUUGAUGACGAGUGGCGGACGGGUGAGUAAUGCUUGGGAAUCUAGCUUAUGGAGGGGGAUAACUACGGGAAACUGUAGCUAAUACCGCGUAAUAUCGAAAGAUUAAAGUGUGGGACCUCGGUCCGACAUGCCACUAGGAGUGAGGCCCAACGUAGGGGAGUUAGGUUAAGGUUUGGGUUGGAAGGG